UACGUAGGGUGCAAGCGUUGCCCGGAUUUAUUGGGCGUAAAGGGCGCGUAGGCGGCUCGGCACGUCCGUUGUGAAAUCGCCCGGCUCAACUGGGCGGGGUCAGCGGAUACGGCCGAGCUUGAGCAAGCUAGGGGGCAAUGGAAUUCCCGGUGUAGUGGUGAAAUGCGUAGAUAUCGGGAGGAACACCAGUGGCGAAGGCGACUUCCUGGCCUGUUCUUGACGCUGAGGCGCGAAAGCUAGGGGAGCAAACGGG
rnacentral:rRNA from 1 species